UACGGAGGGUGCAAGCGUUAUCCGGAUUUACUGGGUUUAAAGGGUGUGUAGGCGGAUUUUUAAGUCAGAGGUGAAAUCUCCAGGCUCAACCUGGAAACUGCCCCUGAUACUAUUAGUCUUGAAUAUUGAUGAGGUGGGCGGAACGGGUCAUGUAGCGGUGAAAUGCUUAGAGAUGACCCGGAACACCAAUUGCGAAGGCAGCUCACUGGGCAAUUACUGACGCUGAUGCACGAAAGCUAGGGGAGCAAACAGG
rnacentral:rRNA from 1 species